GUACGAAUGAUUUGUGGCUUUUGUCUUUUCCUUUUGUGCUUUCACAGUUUCACGUGUUCAAUGGCGUGAUCGGUCAUUUUUUUUAUUCCCGCUGCUUUUUAAUUCACAGAUAACAGGGGAUUUCAUUUUUUUCGCAGGUGCCGGCUGUACGUUUCGUCUUUCGUCACGUGCAGAACUACUUCAGAACAGUACAAUAGUUGUAUAGGCUUAAGGGGUCUGAUAUAAUAAUAAGGUGUUCCUCUUGCAAUCUUGCUACCUGUACGGCUGUACCAUGAAGGAUUCCUCCUUCAUAACUGUACCAGUUAUGGCUUUCAAUUUCAUCAGUUGCAGAAACAUAAUAAACGUGGUGAAGUCUGAGCUGCAUUGCAGCAUGUGCAUGUGAUCUCCACCAUGUCAUGAAGAUUCAUCUUGGGAGCUCUAUUUCCAAGAAAAUAAUGUGAUGAAAAUAAGAAAUCCAAAAUGGUAAUAAUGUACUUGUAAGCUGGUAAAUGGUGUGGUGAGUUGUUGCAUGAAGACCAUGGUACUGGUUGUGAUGAGCUGCUGAAUGCAGUCUUGCUGCAUUUUGUUUGUGGUGCUGUUUUAAAUUUGGAAGAAUUUGAAGUUUCCAUGGUCAGUUUGAGCUGUUUGUGAUGUUGCUCUUUGGUGUGCAGUGGUUUGGCAGUCCUUUUUCAGUUGAGAGAUGCGCCGAAAUGGAACUUGUGUAAACGUGAAGUUCAACAUCAUACUUCAAUGUUCAAUGUGUUGUUUGCCGAUGUUGGUGUCCAUGCAAUGGUGAACUGUUUAGAUAUGUCGUCUAUUGCUACGUGUACCGGCGUUGAGUUGGAUCGUCUGCCACCGUUCCAUAAGCAAAACCCAUUGAUGAAAAUGAAAAAUUUUUGAAUUUCAAGACUGAUUCAUAUAUAUGUAGAUUUAGAUAAAUUACGAGUGCCUCUUUGUUAUCCCUUAUAGAGGUCCCGUUUCCUUUGUAUACAGUAUCUAAUCUCUUUCCCCCCUCCCGAUGGUAAAUAUUCCGCUUUAAUAACCGCGAUGAUCUGAGGAAAACUUUCUGUAGAUGACUUGAUUUUUUCAUUUUAAAAAAGGACAUUUGUGAUAAGAAUUUAUUCAAUAAGUAAAAACAAGUAAUACUACUAUGUCAAUUAAUAUGUUAGCAACGAAAUACAAACACCAAUUAAAAAUAAUCA
rnacentral:lncRNA from 1 species